GCCGCAGUCAGUCAGCCAGUAGCUCUGCGCCCGCGCUGUCUCGUGCUUCUCGCCCGAACUCGAGGUCAUGACAACAACUACAGAAGAUGACACGGCUCGACCGCCUCUCCUGCAGCAUGAAGAAUCAGGUGCGACCCCGACUCAGGAGACAGUUGAGUCAGAUCUCUUGUACACAGUGGAGGACGUUCCUCCUUGGUACAUGUCCAUCUUCUUCGGAUUUCAG